CAUUUUAUGCAGGGUGAGAUAAAAAAGUGCAACAAAGUCAAACGCCAUAAUUUUAACAAUUGUUUUUAAAUUUUAUUGAAUGAAAGCAAAAUAUAUCGGAAAUAGCAUUAAAUUUUAGAAUAAGUUUAGAUUUGUUCGAACGGGUCAUCUUUGGCACGAAUUAUGGCCUUCAAACGGCCAAUGAAAUCGUCACACGCUGCCCGAUAUUUUGGCCCAUUCCCGGCGAAGCGCUUGCUUGCGGUGAUCGACACUUUGGUAUUUUUAGUGCCAACCUUGCUUUCCAACAUACUCCAGACACAAUAGUCCAACGGAUUGGUAUCUGGAGAUUUUGGUGGCCAUUGUGCGCAGGGAAUGAAGCGAGGAACCUUAUUUUGCACCCUCCAGAAUAUUUUCGCGAUAAUAUUCGGCAUUUAUUCUGAUGCCACGGUCGGUUAAUACGAGAGGAGAGCGACCAUCGGCUGUUAUGGCGGCCUACGCCAUCACCAUGGCCGGCGCUUGAGUUCUGGUGGCCAACCGAAGAUGCAUAUUUUCAGCAGACCUCUUUGGCAAGUAAACACGAUCAUUUUGUUUGUUUACAACCUGCUGGAAAACGAAUGUUUUUUUUCAUCGGAGAAAACCAAAUUCGACAGUUCACCACUUUCGGCCAAGCAAAGCAACUCCUUAGCUCUUUUGAGUCUAUUUUCUUUCUGUUGCGGUGUAAGAUCUUUCACUUUUUGGAAUUUAAUGGCUUUACCCCGACCUCAUUUUUCAAUAUUUGCCGAAUGGAAUAUUGGGAUAUGUUCAGCUCACGAGCCAUUUUUCGGCCACUGCGACGCGCACUUCGAUCAAGUCGCUUCUUUACUUUUCGAACCAUUUCUGCUGAUGUUGCUGUUUUCUUCCGUCCACUUCCUUGACGUUGGGCUACGCUACCAAUGUCACUGUAACGAGUGAUGGUACGAGACACAAAAGAUUUAUUCACAUUUAAAUGCUGGAGUGCUCUAACGAUAGCCAAUUGUGGUUUUCCAGCCAAAUAUAAAGAAA